GAGAGCUGAAAAGAGCAGGUCACCAAUGACGAGAGAAACAUAAUUGAGGUGGAAGGAUCCAGAAGAAAGGAACCAGUGAUGAUGAGGACAGAGGGCUCUCCACGGGAAGGUGGGAGAGAAUUUAGUUCUCUGUGCCGUGAAGAUGGGAUUGGAGCCAUACAUGUAGUACCUGAGGAAGGCAAGAAAGGAUAUAAAGAAAAUAAGAAACAACACUUUCUCUGCACAUCCAAAUUGUGGCAAGGAUUUUUGCAGAUUGCCACCAGUUCACUGAGAGGAGUCAUUGAAAACAUGGCAUUGAGGACAGAGACUGCCACUUCAGAAUUUUCUACAUCCAACUGCUGAAGCCACUCGAAGAUAUUUCCCUCAGAGAACCAUAACCAGCUUUGGAGAAGAUGCUUCCACAUAGCUUGUUUCACAGCAUCUCAUCUCUCAUUAAAACCUUGUUGAGGGAGCAUUACUGUCUGAGCAAUGGACAUAGCUCUCAUACGAACCUUUUCAGCUAACACCGGAUAAGCCAGCUUUCUGACAGCCUCUUUCACAUCCUUGGUGCACCCUACAAUUUUUGGCAAAGUCUUUGCUGAUGGUGCAAUACAUGAUAACACUGCCUGUCUAAGUUCUGGAUUCAAAUCAAUCAUUUUCGAUCAAAGUAGCAUAUGCAUUAACCACUGGGCAUUCAUCAUCCUUUGGAUCCUGAAGUCGUGAAAGCGCCAGAACUGCCUGUAUUCUCACAUUUGGAAUCUUAUCUUUCAGUCUAAUAAGCAUGGCUUCAUUAAUUUUGUCAAACACACCAUCAUCAAUCUGAGCUUCUUCUGGCAUACUUCUCAAAAGCUUGUUUAUGCAGCUCCUGGUUCUUGAACUAACGUAGGCAUCAGCACAGCUGAUUCUCAUUCAGGAGAAGACAGUGCUGUGCCCAGGGGCCCCUGAGCCAUUGCCCAGCUUUCCAGCUUUCCAGGAAGUCUGCACUGGAGAAGCAUUCAACCUCCUCUGAGCUAACAUUUUCAUGUGCACACGUGAUUAUGAGUGUGAUACAGACAUUAUUUUACUUGUGUAACUAAUUUUUAAAUCAGACUAAUAAAAAAAGUUAUCAGUCUAAAUUUUUGCCUGUCUUUUGGACUGUUGGAAUGUAGUGAGACAGUGGGAUCAGUGACAGAACAUCUCCCAUGGGGCACUGCAUCAUGGUGAGGGGGCACAUGAAG
rnacentral:lncRNA from 1 species